GGUGGGUUUGGUCACAGGCGCGCAUGCCCUUCAGUUCAGUCAGCAGAACUUAUGAGCAAAACCGAAUCCUACCUAGGACUCCGGUUAAUACUGCGGUCAAUCCGAGAUCAGUCAGAAUAUUUAGGCUACAUAUCUCUGGUUUACUAGGAGCCCGCAGCACUAGGCCCUAUGUCUUUAUUAUUAUUAUAUCAUUAUUACUGGCUACACCACAGCAUUGGCGGAGUCACGGGAGUAGGGAAACGGCAGCGCUCAAACCGCAGAUCACGGAGCCGCGACCCGGGACCGCCAGGCUGAGGAUGGGACUUCCUCCACCUCUAGUCCGUGCCAGUGCUGUGCGUCCACCCUGCCCUCCCUCCGCCAUGGGGCCCGCGUCCCUCACCGCGAAGCCUAGAAGCCGCCAGGGCCCAAGCUGCAGACCCGAGGGGCCAGCCACAAAGACCGGAAGUGCGCCCGGCGGCCUUCCGCUCGCGAACCCGGCAGCCUCUGCCCGCCACGCCCCUUUCUCGAAAUCAGCCAAUCAGCGCCGUGGGUUCUACUCUUCCUAUCGCUUCCCGGCUGUUUGGCUGCCCGAGUGCAGAGUGCCGCGAGAGGGUGCCCUGAGGAAUGUAGCUGUUAAAAGAAAGGAGUAUAAGCAGAGACUUCAAUGCCAGGGAUCACAGUGUGAUGUGUUGAGAAAUCUAACUCCUUCAAGAGAAAAAUGAUGACACAGAGCAAGUUACUUCUCUCUUCUAAGACAAUGGUAGGUGACCAGUUCUCUCCAGUGCCCUUUCUGUCAAAAGAGACUAUUUAGAACAUGUAGAUCCGAAGAUUUCCAACACUGUAUCGAGCAGGUUUAUCACCUACCAGUUACUUGUGGGAGUCUUUAUUGCUGGGAGUUACACAUAGAUUAGGGGAGUUGAGUGUGUGGCUCACGGGUAAAUUGCCCAAAAGGGGGGCGGGACUGGAUGUAGAACUAGGAGUGAAAAUGGCAAUACUAGUGGGGAUCCAAGAAGGUUAAGAAUUGUAGAUUCUUAACUCUUUGAUGGGUGUCAGAGUCUCUGGAGAGCAGUGAAAAUAUCUUCUUUUCACCUAAUCCUUUAUUUAUUUAUUUUUUGAGACAGGUCUUGCUACAUAGUCCACAAUGGCCUUGUGAUCUUCUGGCCUUAGCCUCCUGAGUACUUCACAGCAUAUUUUAAUUCGGGCUUGGAUUGAGAGAAACAGCAUUGUCACCCCCACCUCCACUGUUACCACUAGUGGCAGCAGCCAACUGUGUGCUGAAUAUUAAGAAUUUUCUAAGCACAUUGCUAAACUCUUUGCAUGUAUUAUUUUAUUAAAUUCUCAUAAUAAC
rnacentral:lncRNA from 1 species